GGCUGCGAGUCAUUGUAGCAAUACAAGGCAGACGGCUCAGUCGUACGUAGCCAAUCUAACCUAUGGACGGGGAUAACCUCGGGAAACUGAGGAUAAACUGCGAUAGAUCAUUAUGCCUGGAACGGUUUAUGGUCCAAAUGAUUCGUCGCCGUAGGAUGAGACUGCGGCCUAUCAGCUUGUUGGUGAGGUAAUGGCCCACCAAGGCUAUUACAGGUACGGGCUCUGAGAGGAGAGGCCCGGAGAUGGGUACUGAGACACGGACCCAGUCCCUAUGGGGCGCAGCAGGCGAGAAACCUUUGCAAUGUGCGCAAGCACGACAAGGUUAAUCCGAGUGAUUCCUGCUAAAGGAAUCUUUUGUUAGUCUUAAAAUCACUAUUGAAUAAGGGGUGGGCAAGUUGAGGUGUCAGCCGCCGCAGUAAAACCAGCACCUCAAGUGGUCAGGAUGAUUAUUGGGCCUAAAGCAUCCGUAGCCUGCUCAGUAAGUUUCCGGUUAAAUCCAUUAGCUCAACUAAUGGCCUGCCGGAAAGUUAGCAGAGCUAGGAAGUGGGAGAGGUAGACGCUGCUCGGUAGGAAGGGGUAAAAUCCUUUGAUCUAUUGAUGACCACCUGUGGCGAAGGCGGUCUACCAGAACACGUUCGGUUAUGAGGGAUGAAAGCUGGGGGAGCAAACCGGAUUAGAUACCUGGGUAGUCCCAGCUGUAAACGAUGCAGACUCGGUGAUGCGCUGGCUUGUGGCCAGUGCAGUGCCGCAGGUAAGCCGUUAAGUUUGCCGCCUGGGAAGUACGUACGCAAGUAUGAAACUUAAAGGAAUUGGCGGGGGAGCACUGUGCA
rnacentral:rRNA from 2 species